CUUGAUGUCUUCAAACCAUGACUUUUAUCUUCAGUUUUCAGCUACUAACAAGCAUGACCACAAUUUGGACCAUCAUCACAUGAAGCAGGCUGUUUGUCUUCUAAGAAUGAUGACUGGAUCUAGGAAGCUUUGCAGGAAAGACGUAAGCUUGUUUCCUGGCACCACAACUCACAUAUGAGUAAGGAAAUGACUCCAUUGGUCCUACUGUAAAUCCUUAAAUGGAGAUAUUUCAACAAGAAAUUGGGCGAAGCUGCUUUAUAGAUGUCUUCUUCAAUCAGCAAGGCAUAUUUCAAAUAAG